ACGGAAGGCAGCAGUGGGGGAUAUUGCACAAUGGGCGAAAGCCUGAUGCAGCAACGCCGCGUGAGGGAAGACGGUUUUCGGAUUGUAAACCUCUGUCUUUGGUGACGAAUAAUGACGGUAGCCAAGGAGGAAGCCACGGCUAACUACGUGCCAGCAGCCGCGGUAAUACGUAGGUGGCAAGCGUUGUCCGGAUUUACUGGGUGUAAAGGGUGCGCAGGCGGGAUAGCAAGUCAGCUGUGAAAACUAUGGGCUUAACCCAUAGACUGCAGUUGAAACUGUUGUUCUUGAGUGAAGCAGAGGUAGGCGGAAUUCCGAGUGUAGCGGUGAAAUGCGUAGAUAUUCGGAGGAACACCAGUGGCGAAGGCGGCCUACUGGGCUUUAACUGACGCUGAGGCACGAAAGCAUGGGGAGCAAACAGGAUUAGAUACCCUGGUA
rnacentral:rRNA from 1 species